UGUCAUUUAUCUCACCAAACAAAUGUCCAAAUAAUUCCUUGACGUGUCAGUGUUAUAUUCGUAUCAUUUGACAACCGAUCAAAAGCCUGUAGAUAUUUAUUCCGCUGUUAAUAGCUGUUGGAAUAAUUAGUCGUUCUUUCUUAAGCCAACAUAAGGGUUAAAUUACAAUAGGCCGCUUCGAUAAUUUGAUUUUUCAAAUGAAGAAACAAUUUACAUGGACGCAUAUGUGCCUACACAAACGCACACAAACAUAUAACGUCAUGCGAAAAAGCACGAUAAUCAUUUUGAUUGUUUACUUACACAACGACAUUAAACAGUGCGCAAGCAUGCAAUAUUACUGCAAUAAACAUCGUAUAGUUCCCAACAGCUACUGUGCAUAGGAAGAUUAUUGCUGCGCACUGAGUCCAAAGGCCAAGCUUACUACACCAAAGAUGUACUGAAUGAAACAUUGAAGUGAUGGAAAUAUCAAAAAUCCAAUAUACAAAUAAAAGGAGACUGAAAAUA